ACGUACAACUUAAAACGGGUGACGAGGUUUUUGCUCGUAACUUUACCCAGAGCAACGCGAGUAAGAAGUUUAGUUCGAAGUUAGCUCCGGUUUUCAUUUCUGCAAAGGUUCUCAAAAAAAGAAGCCCAUAUUAUUAUGAGUUGGUGAACCCAGCAGGGAAAAAGAUUGGAGUUUUCCAUCUCAAAGAUAUUCAGGUGAAGAAUAAAUAACAGCAUUUUUUUCAGAUAAUGUACCUUCGAGCAGGUCUUGUUUCAUUAUCUGUGGUUGUAGUGUCCAACUAUUCGAAAAUCAAAAGAAAAAAAAAAAAGAAAGGAAAAGGUCGAACAAGGUACACUUUAGGUACACUUUCUAGAAAGAUACUUUUCAUACCGCCCUCGCUAGCAUAGCUCGAAGAAAUUGGUGGAAUGCAGGAGAUCCAGAAGAUCAUCCGAUUGCACAGUUAUGUUAAAGCUUAAAGCUCAGCUUAGGCAUGCAAUAGGUACAGGCGAAUAGACUUUAUUCAUGUGAAAUCAUUCCCCUGCAUAGUUUCACUUACGGCACACGUAUAUAUAGAUUUUCGUGAUUUUCGCAAUCGCAGAGUGAAUGGUGAAGACACGUGGAGUUACAUAACUUCCAAUUUUUCACUAUUAUCUAAUCAUCCGCUGUUUAUAUGGAUUAAUAAAUCCGAAGAGUGGCGUUAGCUGAACUACCCGAGGGAAAAGUGAAAAUAAAGUGAAAUUCUUGAAAGAAGCAAAGGGAUAGGAGUACUGGAAAAUCUUAAUACAGCCAAGCCGGCCACCCAAUCUACGGUAACAACUACUAAAACAACCAAGCUGACCGUUUGGGAGUUAGCGCAGUGCACAUCCACGGCGACAAAGUGAAGGCUGAACCGUUGACGUUGGGCUAGCUCAAUAUCGGAAAUCAUUUACGGCUCGUGAAAGACCAACCACCAUACACCACUGCUGGACGUCCGAAUAUCAGUUUGAACCUGCCGAUCUCGUAAAAAAAAAGCCGGAGGACAUAAUCGUCACCAACCUACGAAAACUUACAAAGGAUUGAGUAAUUAGGCUAGCCUAAACCACAUUGCCUCAGAACCACUCUUGCUGUCAGCAGAUUUGUGUUUAUUUUGAUUCCCGUGUUUCUCAAAUUAAAUUUCAAGUGCAAGUUCCCGUUUGCCUUUAUCACUAUCACAUAAAAAUCUAUACGCUGCUGCUCUAAGAACCAGCUGAUUAGAUCCACAUAUUCAUAUCUCGUUUAUCAUUGUGUUGAUUAAUGUAGUAACUAAAUAGCUUCCUCCAAUGAGUAAAUUUGUAACGUAACUGACGAUUUU